CCAAUAGCGUAUAUUAAAGUUGUUGCAGUUAAAAAGCUCGUAGUUGAAUUUUAGGCCUGACCGGGCGGUCCGUCUCUGGCGAGUACUGUUCUGUUGUCGGGUCUAUCCUUCUGGUGAGCCGGUAUGUCCUUUAUUGGGUGUGUCGGGGAACCAGGACCAUUACCUUGAAAAAAUUAGAGUGUUUAAAGCGGGCUUUUGCUUGAAUAGAUUAGCAUGGAAUAAUAGAAUAGGGCGUUGGUUCUAUUUUGUUGGUCUAGGACCACCGUAAUGAUUAAUAGGGAUAGUUGGGGGCAUUAGUAUUCAAUUGUCAGAGGUGAAAUUCUUGGAUUUAUUGAAGACUAACUACUGCGAAAGCAUUUGCCAAGGAUGUUUUCAUUAAUCAAGAACGAAAGUUAGGGGAUCGAAGACGAUCAGAUACCGUCGUAGUCUUAACCAUAAACUAUGCCGACUAGGAAUCGGGCGACGUUAUUUUCAUGACUCGCUCGGCGCCUUAUG
rnacentral:rRNA from 1 species